CUCCCCCUUCUUUCACAAUUUCCGCUCCGCGCGGACAAACUGCACAAUUUCCCGUGAAAAUUGGAAUAGAGUUCUAGAUGCUUAAUGAGCUCGUCUUUGAAUUUUGAAGAUAGAGAGAGAUACCCUUGCGACC
ensembl:ncRNA F58F12.8 ncRNA